CCAUCAUGGGGGGAAUCAGGCCUGGGAUGCUCUCCGGCGGCUGCUGCCACACAGGCCUUGGAGAGAUGAUCCGUGAAACCCCCAGAAAGCGCGGCCCCUGGCACACAGCUUUGUAGCACUGGGACCCCAUACACAUAAGCCACCAUCCAGCAGGGCCUUGGGCCAGCCCCACCCUCUCCCACUGCCCCACUCUGGGAGGCCAGGGAACAGUUCACAACUUUGCAAUGACCAGCUGCAGGGAUCCUGGCGGGCCCUGGAUGGCUGAAGAAGCCCCCAAGGACCCCUCAAAGCCCAUCGGUGCCUGGGAGGAGACGAAACCUCCCCAAUGGAAGAGUUGGCAAAAGAGCCCACAGCAGAAGCAGGAGCUGUGUGUGCCUCAGCCCUUCCAUGCCGAUUCACCAGCCUACUGUAACGCCUGCUUGAUGAGGCUAGACUCGA